UCCUUGGUGAUCCAGUGGCUAAGACUCUGAGUUCCCAAUCCAAGGGGCCCAGGUUUGAUUCCUGGUCAGGGAA
rfam:Ovis aries breed Texel chromosome 1, whole genome shotgun sequence.